UAAAAAGAAAUGCAAUGGUAAAAUUUUAUGGUUGUAAAUCGUGGGAAGGUCAGGUCAGAAUUUGGAUUGGAUACUAAAUAAAACUUGAUUUCCAACUUCAGUCUUAAACAGCAAUCCUGAAGUGUGUGCUGUCUUAGCGCUGAUCAGAAAGCAAUGUCCUUCCAUCUUGAUUUCAUGAAGAACAAGUAAAGCUGCAAAAUUCUUGAGAGCCAAUGAAAUUUCUCUUUUCAAAGUACCAGAAGAAACAGUAGAGCUACUUGGGAAAUCUGACCUGUAUUUCUUUAGCCCCGAACCUCCUCCAUUGACCGAACCAGCUCAAAAAGCCCUUGACUAGGCCGUGGAUGAGAAAUUGAAGUCAGGCGGAAGUUUUUGGUUAAGGUCUUCCAAGCAGAUUUUGUUAAAACGUUGAUCGUGUCAUGGCAAGGAUUGGAUGGAUCUACCGAGGUAUAGCAAAGAGUAUAUCAAUGGUGUUAUUAGUUUUUUAGACUUUGCAUACUCUGAGGGAGAACUGGACGGACGAAAAAUUCAAUUUCCUUGUAAGAGGU